rnacentral:rRNA from 1 species
AUUGAACGCUGGCGGCAGGCUUAACACAUGCAAGUCGAGCGGUAGCACAAGAGAGCUUGCUCUCUGGGUGACGAGCGGCGGACGGGUGAGUAAUGUCUGGGAAACUGCCUGAUGGAGGGGGAUAACUACUGGAAACGGUAGCUAAUACCGCAUAACGUCGCAAGACCGAAGAGGGGGACCUUCGGGCCUCUUGCCAUCAGAUGUGCCCAGAUGGGAUUAGCUAGUAGGUGGGGUAAUGGCUCACCUAGGCGACGAUCCCUAGCUGGUCUGAGAGGAUGACCAGCCACACUGGAACUGAGACACGGUCCAGACUCCUACGGGAGGCAGCAGUGGGGAAUAUUGCACAAUGGGCGCAAGCCUGAUGCAGCCAUGCCGCGUGUGUGAAGAAGGCCUUCGGGUUGUAAAGCACUUUCAGCGAGGAGGAAGGUGGUGAACUUAAUACGUUCAUCAAUUGACGUUACUCGCAGAAGAAGCACCGGCUAACUCCGUG